UACGGAGGGAGCUAGCGUUGUUCGGAAUUACUGGGCGUAAAGCGUGCGUAGGCGGUUAUUCAAGUCAGAGGUGAAAGCCCGGGGCUCAACCCCGGAACGGCCUUUGAAACUAGGUAACUAGAAUCUUGGAGAGGUUAGUGGAAUUCCGAGUGUAGAGGUGAAAUUCGUAGAUAUUCGGAAGAACACCAGUGGCGAAGGCGACUAACUGGACAAGUAUUGACGCUGAGGUACGAAAGCGUGGGGAGCGAACAGG
rnacentral:rRNA from 1 species